CCUACCACUCUUUUCAUUAUUUAAAUUUUACCAUGACCUGUCCACCAUCUGCUUUUACCUCUUUAUUGUCUCUCUCUCUCACACACCUUCUUUACUUUUGAUUUCUAUUUAUAAUUUAGGUUUGAUUGUUGAAUCAUGAGAUCCUUGGAACAAGUAAAAAGGUGUGUGUUUGGAAUGAAGUUUGAUCCUAGAUCCUUUUUUCCCCUCUCCUUCUUUACUCUUUCUAGUUCUACACUAAUUAGGGUUUUAUAAUAUCCAUCUUUUUUUAUAGUUUUAAAAUUAAAUAGAUCUGAAGAUUGGAGAAUUCUUGUUGAGAUUCAAGAUCCUAAUUCUCUUCUUCAAUCUUAUAUAAUUUUUUGAUGUUCAAAGUAAUUAUUUGAUAAGUGUUAAAGAUCUCGGACCAGGCUUCAUUCCUUACACCAAGCUUUUUCAAGUUCAUGAGAUACACAGAUACCAGUACCACCAUUAUGCAUACUCGAGCAAAGAAAAAAGGAGAUUUUAUCUGCAUAUAUGUGAGUAUAGUUCAAUCUCCAAACAAGAGAUGUUUUUUUCUUACAGGUAAUGGUAUAUGAAGAGAUUCCAAGACAAACAAUAUAAGACAUAAUGCCUACUGUUCCUUGCCUUUAUAUAUAUACACUUUUUCCCCCUUCAUUUUCAUACCUCAUAUUUUACCUCAAUAUAUAUUCUAGAUUAAUAUAAAAAAUAGUUUGUGUAAAUUUAUGCGUUACAUAAGUAGAUCUCUCAAAUAAAAACCCUAGCUAAGCUUAAUGAUUCAUGUAAUUAUUAAUUUUAAUAAUUCUGUUAUAGUUGGGUUGUCCUUUUAGGGUUUGGGUCUUCUCUAGUGCAUAUCUGCAAUCCAUAAUUUAUUUAUCAUUUA